rnacentral:rRNA from 1 species
CCUACACGACCGUACCGCAAACCGACACUGGUGCGCGAGAUGAGUAUUCUAAGGCGCUUGAGAGAACUCAGGAGAAGGAACUCGGCAAAUUGACACCGUAACUUCGGAAGAAGGUGUGCCUUUAGUAGGUGAAGUCCCUCGCGGAUGGAGCCCAAUGAGGUUGCAAAGAAUCGGUGGCUGCGACUGUUUAUUAAAAACACAGCACUCUGCAAACACGAAAGUGGACGUAUAGGGUGUGACGCCUGCCCGGUGCUGGAAGAUUAAAUGAUGGGGUGCAAGCUCUUGAUUGAAGUCCCAGUAAACGGCGGCCGUAACUAUAACGGUCCUAAGGUAGCGAAAUUCCUUGUCGGGUAAGUUCCGACCUGCACGAAUGGCGUAACGAUGGCCACACUGUCUCCUCCUGAGACUCAGCGAAGUUGAAAUGUUUGUGAUGAUGCAAUCUCCCCGCGGAAAGACGGAAAGACCCCAUGAACCUUUACUGUAGCUUUGUAUUGGACUUUGAACAGAUCUGUGUAGGAUAGGUGGGAGGCUUUGAAGCAGGGUCGCUAGAUCUUGUGGAGCCAACGUUGAAAUACCACCCUGGUGUGUUUGAGGUUCUAACCUAGGCCCGUAAUCCGGGUUGGGGACAGUGCAUGGUAGGCAGUUUGACUGGGGCGGUCUCCUCCCAAAGUGUAACGGAGGAGUUCGAAGGUACGCUAGUUACGGUCGGACAUCGUGACGAUAGUGCAAUGGCAUAAGCGUGCUUAACUGCGAGACUGACAAGUCGAGCAGAUGCGAAAGCAGGACAUAGUGAUCCGGUGGUUCUGUAUGGAAGGGCCAUCGCUCAACGGAUAAAAGGUACUCUGGGGAUAACAGGCUGAUACCGCCCAAGAGUUCAUAUCGACGGCGGUGUUUGGCACCUCGAUGUCGGCUCAUCUCAUCCUGGGGCUGUAGCCGGUCCCAAGGGUAUGGCUGUUCGCCAUUUAAAGAGGUACGUGAGCUGGGUUUAAAACGUCGUGAGACAGUUUGGUCCCUAUCUUCCGUGGGCGCUGCAGAUUUGAGGAAGCCUGCUCCUAGUACGAGAGGACCGGAGUGGACGCACCUCUGGUGUAUCGGUUGUCACGCCAGUGGCAUUGCCGAGUAGCUAUGUGCGGAAGAGAUAACCGCUGAAAGCAUCUAAGCGGGAAACUCGUUUCAAGAUGAGAUCUGCCGGGGCCUUGAGCCCCCUGAAGAGUCGUUCAAGACCAGGACGUUGAUAGGUCGGGUGUGGAAGCGCAGUAAUGCGUUAAGCUAACCGAUACUAAUUGCUCGUGCGGCUUGACCCC